GAAUUGACGGGGGCCCGCACAAGCAGUGGAGUAUGUGGUUUAAUUCGAAGCAACGCGAAGAACCUUACCAGGGCUUGACAUCCCUCUGACAGGUGUAGAAAUACACCCUCUCUUCGGAGCAGAGGUGACAGGUGGUGCAUGGUUGUCGUCAGCUCGUGUCGUGAGAUGUUGGGUUAAGUCCCGCAACGAGCGCAACCCCUGUUGUUAGUUGCCAGCAUUAAGUUGGGCACUCUAGCAAGACUGCCGGUGACAAAUCGGAGGAAGGUGGGGAUGACGUCAAAUCAUCAUGCCCCUUAUGUCCUGGGCUACACACGUACUACAAUGGCGACUACAGAGUGAGGCAAAGCCGCGAGGUGGAGCAAAUCACCAAAAGUCGUCCCAGUUCAGAUUGCAGGCUGCAACUCGCCUGCAUGAAGUCGGAAUUGCUAGUAAUGGCAGGUCAGCAUACUGCCGUGAAUACGUUCCCGGGCCUUGUACACACCG
rnacentral:rRNA from 1 species